rnacentral:rRNA from 1 species
UACGUAGGGUGCAAGCGUUGUCCGGAAUUAUUGGGCGUAAAGAGCUCGUAGGCGGUCUGUCGCGUCUGCUGUGAAAACUCGGGGCUUAACCCCGGGCCUGCAGUGGGUACGGGCAGACUAGAGUGCGGUAGGGGAGACUGGAAUUCCUGGUGUAGCGGUGAAAUGCGCAGAUAUCAGGAGGAACACCGGUGGCGAAGGCGGGUCUCUGGGUCGUAACUGACGCUGAGGAGCGAAAGCAUGGGGAGCGAACAGG